CGGAAGUCGUUACGAGGGAACCGUAAAUUUGCUGUGGAGCGGAACAAUGGGAGCUUGCUUCCUGAGAUCAGCGGCGGACGGGUGAGUAACACGUGGGUAACCUGCCUGUAAGACUGGGAUAACUCCGGGAAACCGGGGCUAAUACCGGAUAACACCUACCCCCGCAUGGGGGAAGGUUGAAAGGUGGCUUCGGCUAUCACUUACAGAUGGACCCGCGGCGCAUUAGCUAGUUGGUGAGGUAAUGGCUCACCAAGGCGACGAUGCGUACCGACCUGAGAGGGUGAUCGGCCACACUGGGACUGAGACACGGCCCAGACUCCUACGGGAGGCAGCAGUAGGGAAUCUUCCGCAAUGGACGAAAGUCUGACGGAGCAACGCCGCGUGAGUGAAAAGGUUUUCGGAUCGUAAAACUCUGUUGUUAGGGGAGAAAAAGUGCCGUUCGAAUAGGGCGGCGCCUUGACGGUACCUAACCAAAGCCCCGCUAACUACGGCCAACAGCCGCGGUAAUACGUAGUGGC
rnacentral:rRNA from 1 species